UACGGGGGGAGCAAGCGUUGUUCGGAUUUACUGGGCGUAAAGGGCGCGUAGGCGGUCGUGACAAGUCACUUGUGAAAUCUCCGGGCUUAACUCGGAACGGUCAAGUGAUACUGUCGGACUAGAGUACAGAAGGGGCAACUGGAAUUCUCGGUGUAGCGGCGAAAUGCGUAGAUAUCGAGAGGAACACCUGCGGCGAAGGCGGGUUGCUGGGCUGAUACUGACGCUGAGGCACGAAGGCCAGGGGAGCAAACGGG
rnacentral:rRNA from 1 species